AUGGAUGUUUCCAAGAUUCCUUUUGAACUUGCAGAGGAUGUUUUUUCUGCAGUAGUGGCACCAAGGGUUGUGCUUUCUACAAUAGGUGUGACAAGUGAGGUACUUGCUGCAGAAGUAGAGCCAAGGGUAGCAGUUUCUGCAGCAGUGGUUCCCAGGGUUGUUCUUUCUACGGAAAUGGUAGUAGUUUCUGCAGAAGUUGUGCCUAGGAUUGUUCUUUCUACAGAAAUGGUAGUAGUUUCUGCAGAAGUGAUGCCAAGGGUAGCCGUUUCUGCAGAAGUCAUACCCAGGGUUGUGCUUUCUACAGAAGUAGAAAUGGUUUCUGCAGAAGUGAUGCCAAGGGUAGUAGAUUCAGCAGAGGUUGUGCCCAGGCUUGUGGUUUCUACAGAAGUGGUGGUAGUUUCUCCAGAAGUCGUGCCCAGGGUUGUGCUUUCUACAGAAGUAGAAGUGGUUUUUGCAUAAGUGAUGCCAAGGGUAGUAGAUUCAGCAGAGGUUGUGCCCAAGGUUGUACUUCCUACAAAAGGGGUGUCAAGUGAGGUACUUGCUGCAGAAAUGCCCUCAAGCGUACUAAUUUCUGUAAAAUGGGUAGUUUGAGCCAAUGUGGUUUCAACAGCAGAUGUUAAGGCAGGGGUAGUUAAGCUGGAUGCCAUUGUCUGAGCAGUUGUCAUUACAAGCAUGGAUGUUUCCAAGAUUCCUGUUGAACUUAUAGAGGAUGUUGUUUCUGCAGAAGUUGUGCCCAGGGUUGUGCUUUCUACAGAAGUGGCUCCAAGGGUAGAAGGUCCUGCAGAAGUGGUUCUCUGGGUUGUGCUUUCAACAGAAGUGAUGCCAAGGGUAGUAGUUUCUGAAGGAGCGCUAGUUUGAUUCAUUGUUGAUUCAAUAGCAGAUGUUAAGCCAGGCUUGGUUAAAGCUGCAGUUGUUUUUCCAGCAGUGGUCAUUACUGGUGUCAACGUUUCCAAUACUAUUCCUGUUGAACUAACUAAGGAUGUAUUGUCAGCAGAAGAGGUGACAAAGUUAGUAGUUUCUUCAGCAGUGGUGGCAAGGGUUGCAGUCUCUGUGGUAGUUUUAGCCAUUGUGGUUUCAACAGCAAACGUUGCGGCAGGUGUUGGGUCAGGUGAGAUUGUUGCUCCAACAGUUGUCAUUACAUUUGUGGAUGCUCCUAAAAUAUUUAUUGUUGAACUAAUGGAGGGCAUUAUUUCAGCAGUAUUAGUUCUCGGAGAAGUAGUUUCUAUGGAAGUGGUGUCUAGAAAAGUAGUUUCAGCAGAAGUUGUUAUCAGAGCUAUUGUGGUUCCAGCAACAGAUGUUAAAUAAGGCAUGGUCUCAGGUAAGGUUGUUGCUCCAGCAGUUGUCAUAACAGGUGUGAAUGUUUUCAAUAUAAUUUCUGUUGAGCUAACUGAGUGAGUUGUUUCUGCAGAACUCAAAGGAGUCAAUGGGAUAUCCGAGAAACCCCAUUCAGAGUCAUGUCUUGUGCUUUUCAAUGUAGACUGGCCUGUUUGAGUGGGAAUACUUGAUGAAAGUGUUCUUUGGGUAGUUUUAAGGUUUUUUUCAAGUUCCCCACAUGGAACAGUGGGUGUGGAAAGGUCAAAAUCGGUCCCAAACUCUACAUCGGCAUCAACAACAGGAGUUGCAGUUUUGGUGAUCCUGUCUGGUUGUGUAGCUGCAUUUGAGGAUUCCCCUUCUUUGGUAGUACAAAGAGUUAUAUCUGGUGGCCUGAAGGGAUCUACGUUUGCCCAUGAAGUGGGAUUAGGAUGUAUAGGUGUGCUGGAUGGAAGUAUCCUUUGGGUAGUUUUAGGAGUUUCUUCAAAUUCCCCACAUGGAACAGUGGGUUUGACAUAAAAAUCGGUCCCAAAUUCUGCAUCAGCAUCAACAACAGAAGUUACAGUUUUGGUCAUUCCACUUGACUGUGUAGCAGCACUUGAGGUUUCUGCUUUCUGGGUUGUUCCAAUAGUUAUCUCAGGUGACCUAAAGGGAUUUGUGUUUGUCCAUGUACUGGGGUCUGAAAAUGUUGUUGUGCUGGAUGCAAGCAUCAUUUGGGUCGUUUUAGGUGUUUUUUCAAAUUCCCCACAAGGAACAGUGGGUUUGACUUCAAAGUCCAAAAGACCUAAAUUUGCCCCAACAGUAGGUACUGAAUCAUAUUCCCGAAUAAAAUCAAAAGGGUUUUGUCUUCGUUUUCUGAU
ensembl:lncRNA